AUGGAAGCUGCAUCGGACGCCCAGUCAGGGACCAGCGGUGGUGGCGGCGCCGCCGGUAAGCCAGGUCUCGGAGAUUUCCUAGAGCAACUCAAUCUGGACGACGCGGACUUUGAUGAUCUGGUAAUUGAGGAGGACGAUCCUGUGAUCAACGAGAGCGUGAGAUGGUUGGCCCUCAUUAGGGUUCAUACGGAGAAAAGCUUCAGCCAGGCAUCCUUCUACAACGACAUGCGGGCGGCGUGGAAUACGGCGCAGCAGGUCAGGUUUCGGCCGGUCGGGCCGAAUCUGUUUGUGGUGCAAGCAUCGUGCCUAGGCGAUUGGGAGCGCAUAAUCGAGCAAGGCCCAUGGCUUUUCAGGAACUGGAUUGUCUUGAUGUGCCAAUACGAUGGGUUUACAAAGGCAGAGGAGGUGUCGAUGGUGUAUAUGCCAAUUUGGCUGCAGAUCCAUAAACUCCCAGAUGGAUUCUGCAAGAGAGGUAUAGUAGAAUCGUUACUCAAGAAUUCUAGGGAAAUCAUGGAGUUGAGAUUGAACGGAAAUACCCGUGGCGAUUAUGUCAAAAUUAGGGUUCGUCAUGAUAUCCGCGAGCCCCUCACAAAAUACGUCAGUAUUGUUAGAGGUCAAAAGCGACAUGUGUUUUUGGUGCGCUAUGAGAAGCUGGCUCGAUUCUGUAGCGUGUGUGGAAUAGUUGGACACGACUUCAAGGAAUGCGGCACUGGUGUGCAUGAGGAGAAAGAAAAGAAAUUUGGAGCUUGGCUCUAUGCAGAUGGUAUAAACAAAUCACGGUCGGAGGAUGUGUUUGGUCGAGGUGGUGAUCCUAAGUCUAAUGAGUUUUCCCAGCAGAAAUAA
rnacentral:rRNA from 1 species